UGUUGUAUUGUUAUGUAAUUAUCAGGAUCAGUAAAGCAGAGAGCUUUCUCAACGGAAUAUAUACAGAAGAGCAAAAAAACUGAAAAUGAAGGAGGAAGAUAUUAAGCUGAGGCCUGUAAUCGUGUUCAUUUUGAAAUGCACAAUUGAUCUAUUCAAUGUAUAAUGCAUCUUGGUAUUCUCGACUGACAAUUCAUAUUAAACCAUCUAUUUGAUCAUAAACGUUUAACUUUGACAUUAUUAUGACAGGUAAAUAAAUAGAAUGAUUGGUAGGAAAUCCUAUUGUGCUAAUAUGUGUUUGUUUUGGGGGUUGGCGAAGGGUUCGAAAACAAGGAUGUAUUACUUGAGAACCCGUGAUGUUGCUGAUGUAAUAAAAUUCACAGUUGAUACAACCAUUCUCCAAGGAAAGACCAAGGUGAAAGAAGAAGAAGAAGAUGAUGAUCUCGAUACCCAGAAGUCACAGAUGGUAUAUGUUCCUUAACCAACCGAGAAGAUUGCAUGGCAUGUGGCAGUUGAAGCUUUUUUUUGUUGUCAGGAUGUUCCACAUCAGAAUUAGUGAAGAACUCAGAGGAUCAGAAGAGGAAGACAAGAGCAGAAAGGUUUGGGACUUUUGUGCCUGCUACUGCAACUGCUGCUGAUGUGAAAAAGAAAGCUAGGCUUGAGAGGUUUGCUGCUGCUCCAAAUACUACUACCACAACCACCACUACUACUAUAGUGGAAGAUGAGACAAGAAAAGCUAGAGCAAUCAGGGCACAAAACAACCCGCCCUUGGAGAGGAAACAACUGUGCAGAGAGUUUGGCUCAGUUUCCUCCUGCUCCACCAUCAACUCUUAUCGGGGGGGGUUACAAGGACAGUUGUGAUGGACUUCUACAGUUCUCUUCCAUGCCAGUUGAGCAGAUGCAGUCAACACGAGGCCCCGAAAUUGAGUGCUUACUAGCUUGUUCAGUGGCACUUGCAUCACAUAUUACUGUGUAUCAUGUUUGGUAAAUUUAUUAAGUUUCUUGAUGUUUGGUAUGGUCAAAAUAUUGAGCUAAGUAGCAGCAAACCAACAAAAAUCUCCCUAUCAGUUGAUUUCAUUGAUAAGGCUGCUAUUCCAGCAAUAUUUGCUUCAAAAUUACAGGGUGUUGUAGAAUCUGCUUCUGUUCACAUAUUU